rnacentral:rRNA from 1 species
AUGGGAACGCGAAGAACCUUACCUAGACUUGACAUCUCCUGAAUAGUGUAGAGAUACAUGAAGCCCUUCGGGGCAGGAAGACAGGUGGUGCAUGGUUGUCGUCAGCUCGUGUCGUGAGAUGUUGGGUUAAGUCCCGCAACGAGCGCAACCCUUAUUACUAGUUGCUACCAUUAAGUUGAGCACUCUAGUGAGACUGCCCGGGGUUAACCGGGAGGAAGGCGGGGAUGACGUCAAAUCAUCAUGCCCCUUAUGUCUAGGGCAACACACGUGCUACAAUGGUGAGCACAGAUAGAUGCGAUACCGCAAGGUGGAGCCAAACUCUAAAACUCAUCCCAGUUCGGAUUGUAGGCUGCAACUCGCCUACAUGAAGUUGGAGUUGCUAGUAAUCGCGAAUCAGAAUGUCGCGGUGAAUACGUUCCCGGGUCUUGUACACACCG